UACGUAGGGGGCGAGCGUUGUCCGGAUUUAUUGGGCGUAAAGAGCUCGUAGGCGGCUUGGCAAGUCGGGUGUGAAACCUCCAGGCUCAACCUGGAGACGCCACUCGAUACUGCUAUGGCUAGAGUCCGGUAGGGGACCACGGAAUUCCUGGUGUAGCGGUGAAAUGCGCAGAUAUCAGGAGGAACACCGGUGGCGAAGGCGGUGGUCUGGGCCGGCACUGACGCUGAGGAGCGAAAGCGUGGGUAGCAAACAGGAUUAGAAACCCCCGUAGUCC
rnacentral:rRNA from 1 species